CUCGGGGUCGUCCUCAGAGAAACGAUCGAAGUACUGCUGCCCCUGCGCGGACGGCGGGGAGGCGGCCUCGGGGACAGUCUCUUCACUCAUUGUCCUGGUACAAAAGGCUGUAUCCAGUCAUCACCAUGCUUGUGCCCUGGGAAGGGCUUCUGGCGAUUCUUGGCAGUCAAGCUUGGAACUCAAGAGAAAGGGGCCACUAGGCCCUCACUUGUGAAGAACAUUCCUGUGCUCAGGUUUGAUGACCUGAUUGCCUUAUCACGUGGGUCCUUUCCUCCUCCUCACUCAUCCACAGAGAAGGUAUUCGGUUGACCAAAAAGCUCCUUCGGGUUUUUCUGUAACAUCUGAUGGAACAUGAAUUGUUGGGAGAUUGGAAACGGAGUAGCUGGUCUGCAAACUUUCAAGAGGAAGAACACCACCUACGAAGCAUGGCAGAGCAGAGAGACAGAAGGAGCCUGGCAUGUUGAUGACAUCGUGAGCCACUGAGCCAACCCUGGGUUGCCGAACUCUGAACUUUCUAAGUG